rnacentral:rRNA from 1 species
GAUGAACGCUGGCGGCGUGCCUAAUACAUGCAAGUCGAGCGAAUGGAUUAAGAGCUUGCUCUUAUGAAGUCAGCGGCGGACGGGUGAGUAACACGUGGGUAACCUGCCCAUAAGACUGGGAUAACUCUGGGAAACCGGGGCUAAUACCGGAUAACAUUUUGAACCGCAUGGUUCGAAAUUGAAAGGCGGCUUCGGCUGUCAAUUAUGGAUGGACCCGCGUCGCAUUAGCUAGUUGGUGAGGUAACGGCUCACCAAGGCAACGAUGCGUAGCCGACCUGAGAGGGUGAUCGGCCACACUGGGACUGAGACACGGCCCAGACUCCCACGGGAGGCAGCAGUAGGGAAUCUUCCGCAAUGGACGAAAGUCUGACGGAGCAACGCCGCGUGAGUGAUGAAGGCUUUCGGGUCGUAAAACUCUGUUGUUAGGGAAGAACAAGUGCUAGUUGAAUAAGCUGGCACCUUGACGGUACCUAACCAGAAAGCCACGGCUAACUACGUGCCAGCCGCCGCCGUAA